CUCAUCACAAUACCACAGAGCAAAGUAACGGCGUGAAUUCGAAGAAGCUAGUGAAGUGUUAUUGUGCAAAUUGUGGCUGGGAAGGAGCAUCUCAAGAUAAUACCGUUGGACGACUGGGGCCAGAAGAUGCAUCAGAAGCCAUUGAAUCAUCACUCUCAUCAUCAUCGUUAUGGCCAUUAUUACCAUCGUCCUCAACGCUUUUCACAUCUUCGUCAUCGCUGUAGCUUGUUUCUGUGCGAAUGUGAGAACCAAUAUAAGCAGUCCAUCCAGACUCAUUAUUUCCACUAAAUUCCCCAGAAGCUUGGGAAGGCUCCAUGUAGAAGCUUCAGGAACAAGAGCAUAAUAAGACCCAGCAACUGCAGAGAUUACCUUAAUGCUCAGUCCAGCUUCUUUGGUGCUUCUUGGGAUAGGGAUGUGAUUAAAAAAACUGUGAUUUUCACACCCAGAGCUCU